rnacentral:rRNA from 1 species
CACGUAGGAGGCGAACGUUAUCCGGAUUUAUUGGGCGUAAAGCGCGUGUAGGUGGUUCCGUAAGUAGGGCGUGAAAGCUCCUGGCUCAACCGGGAGAGGCCGUUCUAUACUGCAGAGCUAGAGGAUGGUAGAGGGAGGUGGAAUUCCAGGUGUAGCGGUGGAAUGCGCAGAUAUCUGGAGGAACACCAGUGGCGAAGGCGGCCUCCUGGACCAUUCCUGACACUGAGACGCGAAAGCUAGGGUAGCAAACGGGAUUAGAUACCCCUGUAGUCCCU